CUCCCGCACAGGAACUUCCGCUAGCCGAAAGGAAAAGGAGCGGGCUGCAUUUUGAGUCCCACAAUGUCCUUCACCUCUCUGAGCCUGGCUUUCCCCCUUGAAAGUGGAUGUAACUCAAGCAUUGACUUCAGAGAGUUGUGCGAAUUCAACGAAAAGCCUUUACUGCCUAGUAAGCACAGAUUUGCCUCUAAGUGCGUUGCAAGCAGCAGCAGCAGCAACCAUUAACUGCCAGUAGCUCCUCAGCCAGAGGUGGGGGCCUCACAAACCCUUGACCAGCUGUGAUAGAAUGUUGAAGAGCUCCACCUUGUCAGAAGAAGAAUAAGUGAAAGAAAUGCUUCGCGUGAGGAUUCAAAGCAUGCCUGUUUGGAAGAUGGAGAGGACCCUGCACAGAAAUCGGAAAGAAGUCCCAGAAUUAAGGACCUUCGGCCAACAGCUAGAGAAGAAAAACUCCAGUCCUACUAUAUGAUGGGCAAUAUUCCAGCUGAGUUUACACUUUGCUCUGUGUUAGUGGGCUAGUAUGAUCGUCAAUCCUCUUUGUCAACUAUUUUGGAUUAAAAAGCUGCUAGGACAUUAGUGAGGCAUGCAAUUGGAUGUGCCUGUGAAGGGGCUCCUGGAGAGAAUUAACUAAAGCGAAACAGUAUACCUUGAAGGUGUGAGUCACCAUGGGAGUGGGCUGGGGGAGUCUGGCCUGAAUUAAAACAGGGAAAGGAGAAAGGCAACCGAGGACCAGCACUUCUUUUCUGUGUCUUUCCUUUUUCUAGACGAGAUAAGCCCAUGAAGAGAUGUAAAAUCCCAACCACAAAACCCUUUUUGCCAGAUAUUUUUUCACAGUAUUGAGAAAACUAACAUACCCUUUUGGUCUACCAUUUGUGAAUCCUGUCUGAUAUCAGAGUGGGUUGGACAGUCUUGAGUAGUACCUUGGUCCUCUUGAAAAGAAAAACAUAAUUCUCAAUUUAAAGGAAUAAGAGAUAGUUUAUUCUGGAACCAAAUAUGAACCUGGAAACAAAGAUUCAUUUUAUCACAAAUACCACAUUCCAAUAUGGUUUCAUGACUUUUUUUUUUAUGGUAACAGAACAAAGUUGUACCUCAAAUACACUUCAAAUAUAUACUUAAAUACACUAACAUAUCCAAUAGACAGGUUACAGUUUGUUAUAGGCCUCAGUGGAUUUCUGGUGACAUUCUUAGGGUUUUGUAUAGCUGGAGCUAGUGGUUUGCUCAGAGUAUAUUUGAACCUUUUGAUAGAAAGGUAUUAGGUCAGACAUGGAGUGGGUAAUGAAUAGCUUUCAUAGAAGUGAAUAUGAACCCAAAAUAAUUUGGUUCUGGUCUGCAACACUUUUAACUCUUCAUAAUCAUGAAGGUUGGUCGUUUAUAGAAUCUCUAGCAGGUUCAAUUUUUUGUUUCUUGUUUUGUUGUUAUGUUUUGUUAUCUGUUUGCUGUGCUAUGUUGUGUUUUUCUGGGAACUUGAGUUCAGUCCCCAGUACUGGCACAUACUCAAGGGUUACAUGCACACACUGAUGUGCUUUCUUUCCUCCAAGUGCCUGAUAUUAUUGUACUGAAUCCCUGCAUGAGUUUGGAGGCAUGCAGCCAGCUGUAUCCUAUCCUGUGACUGAGAAAGGCUAAAACUCAGUAGCAAACCUACUUCCAUGGCUCUAACUGAAACAAAGGUUUUCUAGUUUGUCUUUAGGGUCAUAGAUAGAUGUCUCUCCUAGUAAGCUCCUGCAUGAGCAGUCCUGCUCUCAAACCACAGUCAAGAUAUUUAAUUCUACAUCAAGAUUUGUGGCAGUACUGAGGUCAGGAGGGCAGCCUGUACUGGUUACUGAUUAAUGUGACUCCCUCUGGGUCCCUAUGUGGGCCAGUGUGUCAAACAACAAUGGAGAGAGGUUAGGGGAAGAUUAACACCUCUUUACAUCUCUUAUGAUACCUACGUUAGAAUGUCUGCCCCAUGGGCUAACACAAGUAUAUCUCCUAGCUUGGACUUUAAAUAGACAGAAUUUUCUGAGACCAUGAUUGAGAGGGACUUGGGAUGAUUCGAAACCAUUUCAGAUCUGCUGCGUUAUUUAGAUUACUGUGCGUAUUAGUUACUUUUCUAGUGUUGUGAUGAAACACCACAACCGAGGCAUCUUCUAGAAGAAAGGAGUUUGGGGGCUUCUAGUUAGAGAAGCUUAGAGUCUGUGAUACAGACCUGAGGCAGCAGGCUGCAGGCAUAGUAGCUAGAGCAGAAGCUAUGCUUUCACAACCCAAAUCCCAAUUAAGAAGCAGAGAUAGAGCACCAGGAAUGCUAUGAGGAUUUAAACUAGUGGUUCUCAACCUGUGAAUCAUGACCCAAAGGAGAUUGCAUAUCAGAUAAUUACAUUAUGCUUUAUAACAGUAGCAAAAUUGGUCAUGAAAUCAUUUUAUGAUUGAGGUUGGAGGAGAUUGCCAUAACAUUCAAACCACCACACUACCACAGCAAGCAUGUUCCAGUGACAGAUAGUUGAAAUCCCCAGAAGCCUCUUAUAGAUGCAAGAUAGUCUACAAAUCAGUGGAACUGGAGCCCAGGUUUGGGCCAUUUUGGAUCUGCUGUAGGUUGAAAGAUCUUUCCUGGAAAUGAACAUGGGUAUGUCCCUUUUUUGUACUUUGUGCAAACAAAACUGAUCUUAAAUUAUAGAUCAGCAAGCUAGAUAUUAAUUAAAAGGUAAUUCCAAAAUUUAUGGCCACCACUGAACGCAUUGGUACUGCCUCCUGAAACAGCAAUAUGUGAGACUUCUCCAAGGCUCCUUAGCAGUUAGUGUUAGUAGUCAGACCAAAGUAAGGCAUUUAUGAGCUUAGGUCUAGGAAUGCAUUCUCUAAGUCUGCCAUCUAAGUCAAGGUAACAUGCCUAAAAGAUUAUUUUCACUCUUGCUGUUCACUGUUUUAAACCACCCAGUCAUAAAAACAUUCACAACACACAUUUACAAAGAACAUAUGGUAAGCCAUAAAUCAUCUCAAUGCGUUAAAAACAACUUCCAUCAUAAACCAUGCUAUCUCUUAACAAUGAAAUCAAACUGAGAUUAAAAAAGAAAAAUGACAGAAAAAGAGGCUGGAGUUAUUAUCUGAAUUCGUAUAAAGCUUGCCUUAUAAUACAUGAAAUUUAAGGUUCAAUCCUUAGUACCACAAAAGAAAAGAAAAAAAUUACAUGAAAAUAUUUAGCCACUUAUACAUUGAACAGUACUCUUCCAAAUAACCCACUGAUAAAAACAAGUAUCAAGGAAAUAUAUAUAUAUAUAUAUAUAACUUUAAAAAAUUAGACCCUUAAGAGAAAGAGAGAGAGAGAGAGAGAGAGAGAGAGAGAGACACUAGGAAUUUGAGGAAGAGUGGAAUGAGGGCUUAUGGGAAAGUUUAAAGGGAGGAAAGGAAAGGGAUAAAUUAUAUAAUUAUAUUAUAAUCUCUAAAAAUAAAAUGAGAAAGAGGGGAAUGGGGCACCCAUUACUAAUAGUAGCCUUGGAGCUAUUGGCAAGUGAUAGCUGCUAGAAGAGAUUCAGUUUUCCCUAAGGGUGUCCCACAUUCCAGUGGAAAGUCACAUGUCCAAGAGUAUUUGGGCAGCACAGAUUUCUUUUGACAGGACAAAAGACAUGAUGAGUGGGUGAGAAUGGUGGAAUGAACCUUGGAAAAGCUGAAGGAGGGAGGAUGAAUAUGACCAAAACACAUUGUAUGAAACUCUCGAAGAACUCAUAAUAUCUUUAAAGAGGCAGUUGCCUAUAGACAUGCCCACAAGCCAAGCCAAUGUAGGCAAUCCAUCAUUGAGACUCUCUUCCAAGGUGUCAUUGGGAUGAUGAAAGCUAAUGAUUACAAAACCCCACUAAUGUGGAAAAAAAACAAAGACAAAACUAAAAUAGCAUUAUCCUCAGAUAUUUGACAAUAUAGAAUGCACCCCGUGAGUUCAUUCAUAUACUCAGUACCUCUGUUAUGAGGAUGCUUGCUAAUUUAUAUUUGUGAUGAGUUGAGAUAAUGUGACUCCAAUUAGGACAUUAAAUAAAAGGCUUUUCAGCUGUUUGGAUUU
ensembl:processed_transcript